GUGAACAUCGAGGCUCGGGUUUCAUUCAAGCCGUCUUUUCUUCCUAUUGGUAAUAAGAAAAUUCUGACUUGAUUGAUUCCCGAGUCAGAUGAUAUACAC